UUUAACACCUGGCAAAACCAAUGAAAAUUGGCGACGCAAAGCUAUUAGUCUAAGGCGAUUUUUGCUAUGAUUGUAAGGUUGCAAUU
rnacentral:ncRNA from 1 species